UGGGGAAUAUUGGACAAUGGGCGCAAGCCUGAUCCAGCCAUGCCGCGUGAGUGAUGAAGGCCUUAGGGUUGUAAAGCUCUUUCAGUGGGGAAGAUAAUGACGGUACCCACAGAAGAAGCCCCGGCUAACUUCGUGCCAGCAGCCGCGGUAAUACGAAGGGGGCUAGCGUUGUUCGGAUUUACUGGGCGUAAAGCGCACGUAGGCGGAUUGGUCAGUUAGGGGUGAAAUCCUGGAGCUCAACUCCAGAACUGCCUUUAAUACUGCCAGUCUCGAGUCCGGAAGAGGUAAGUGGAACUCCUAGUGUAGAGGUGGAAUUCGUAGAUAUUAGGAAGAACACCAGUGGCGAAGGCGGCUUACUGGUCCGGUACUGACGCUGAGGUGCGAAAGCGUGGGGAGCAAACAG
rnacentral:rRNA from 1 species